CCUACGGGAGGCAGCAGUGAGGAAUAUUGGUCAAUGGGCUUACGCCUGAACCAGCCAAGUCGCGUGAGGGAAGACUGCCCUAUGGGUUGUAAACCUCUUUUGUCAGGGAGCAACGCCGGCUACGUGUAGCCGGACUGAGAGUACCUGAAGAAAAAGCAUCGGCUAACUCCGUGCCAGCAGCCGCGGUAAUACGGAGGAUGCGAGCGUUAUCCGGAUUUAUUGGGUUUAAAGGGUGCGUAGGCGGAAUGCCAAGUCAGCGGUAAAAUCGCGGGGCUCAACCUCGCUCCGCCGUUGAAACUGGCGGUCUUGAGUGCAGUAGAGGUGGGCGGAAGUCGUGGUGUAGCGGUGAAAUGCUUAGAUAUCACGAAGAACUCCGAUUGCGAAGGCAUUUCACUGGACUGCAACUGACACUGAGGCUCGAAAGUGUGGGUAUCAAACAGGAUUAGAUACCCCAGUAGUC
rnacentral:rRNA from 1 species